rnacentral:rRNA from 1 species
GAUGAACGCUGGCGGCGUGCUUAACACAUGCAAGUCGAGCGAUGAAGUUUCCUUCGGGAAACGGAUUAGCGGCGGACGGGCGAGUAACACGUGGGUAACCUGCCUCAUAGAGUGGGAUAGCCUUCCGAAAGGAAGAUUAAUACCGCAUAAUGUUGAAAGAUGGCAUCAUCAUUUAACCAAAGGAGCAAUCCGCUAUGAGAUGGACCUGCGGCGCAUUAGCUAGUUGGUGGGGUAACUGCCUACCAAGGCGACGAUCCCUAGCUGGUCUGAGAGGAUGACCAGCCACACUGGAACUGAGACACGGUCCAG